rnacentral:rRNA from 1 species
AGUGAAGCGGCAACAGCUCAAAUUUGAAAUCUGGCUUCGGCCCGAGUUGUAAUUUGCAGAGGAUGCUUUUGGUGCGGUGCCUUCCGAGUUCCCUGGAACGGGACGCCACAGAGGGUGAGAGCCCCGUAUGGUCGGACACCAAUCCUGUGUAAAGCUCCUUCGACGAGUCGAGUAGUUUGGGAAUGCUGCUCUAAAUGGGAGGUAAAUCUCUUCUAAAGCUAAAUACCGGCCAGAGACCGAUAGCGCACAAGUAGAGUGAUCGAAAGAUGAAAAGCACCUUGAAAAGGGGGUUAAACAGUACGUGAAAUUGUUGAAAGGGAAGCACUUGUGACCAGACUUGGGCCGGGCGGCUCAUCAGGGGUUCUCCCCUGUGCAUUCCGCCCGGUACAGGCCAGCAUCGGUUCUUACCGGGGGAUAAGAACGGCAGGAACGUGGCUCCCUCUCGGGGGAGUGUUAUAGCCUGCCGUACGAUACCCUGGCGGGGACCGAGGUUCGCGCUUCCGCAAGGAUGCUGGCGUAAUGGUUACUAGUGACCCGUCUUGAAACACGGACCAAGGAGUCGUCCAUUAGAGCGAGCGUUUGGGUGUAAAACCCGCACGCGUAAUGAAAGUGAAAUUAGGUGAGAGCUUCGGCGCAUCAUCGACCGAUCCUGAUGUUCUCGGAUGGAUUUGAGUAAGAGUUUUAACGGACGGACCCGAAAGACAGUGAACUAUGCUUGUAUAGGGUGAAGCCAGAGG